rnacentral:rRNA from 1 species
CACGAGAAGACAAAGACUGGGGAGACAACAGGAUUAGAUACCCGGUAGUCCAUGCCGUAAACGUUGGGCGCUAGGUGUGGGACUCAUUCCACGAGUUCCGUGCCGCAGCUAACGCAUUAAGCGCCCCGCCUGGGGAGUACGGCCGCAAGGCUAAAGCUCAAAGGAAUUGACGGGGGCCCGCACAAGCGGCGGAGCAUGCGGAUUAAUUCGAUGCAACGCGAAGAACCUUACCAAGGCUUGACAUAUACCGGAAACAUCCAGAGAUG